AAGGCUCAGGAUGAACGCAGCGACAGGCUUAACACAUGCAAGUCGAGGGGCAGCGGGGGUGAUGGCUUGCCAUCGCCUGCCGGCGACCGGCGCACGGGUGAGUAACACGUAUGCAACCUGCCCGCCACAGGGGGAUAAGCGGAAGAAAUUCCGUCUAAUACCGCGUGACGCGGCGCCGGGGCAUCCCGGUGCCGCCAAAGGGAUUACCGGUGGCGGAUGGGCAUGCGGCGCAUUAGCUAGUCGGCGGGGUAACGGCCCACCGAGGCGACGAUGCGUAGGGGUUCUGAGAGGAAGGUCCCCCACACUGGUACUGAGACACGGACCAGACCCCUACGGGAGGCAGCAGUGAGGAAUAUUGGUCAAUGGGCGCGAGCCUGAACCAGCCAAGUCGCGUGAGGGAUGACGGUCCUACGGAUUGUAAACCUCUUUUGCCGGGGAGCAAGCGUGCGUUCGUGAACGCGCGUCGAGAGUACCCGGAGAAAAAGCAUCGGCUAACUCCGUGCCAGCAGCCGCGGUAAUACGGAGGAUGCGAGCGUUAUCCGGAUUUAUUGGGUUUAAAGGGUGCGUAGGCGGGAUGCCAAGUCAGCGGUAAAAAUGCGGUGCUCAACGCCGUCGAGCCGUUGAAACUGGCGUUCUUGAGUGGGCGAGAAGUAUGCGGAAUGCGUGGUGUAGCGGUGAAAUGCAUAGACAUCACGCAGAACUCCGAUUGCGAAGGCAGCAUACCGGCGCCCUACUGACGCUGAGGCACGAAAGCGUGGGUAUCGAACAGGAUUAGAUACCCUGGUAGUCCACGCAGUAAACGAUGAAUGCUAACUGUCCGGCUCGAAUGAGCGCUGGGCGGUACAGCGAAAGCGUUAAGCAUUCCACCUGGGGAGUACGCCGGCAACGGUGAAACUCAAAGGAAUUGACGGGGGCCCGCACAAGCGGAGGAACAUGUGGUUUAAUUCGAUGAUACGCGAGGAACCUUACCCGGGCUCAAACGCAGGAUGACGGGUCCCGAAAGGGGUCUUUCUUCGGACAUUCUGCGAGGUGCUGCAUGGUUGUCGUCAGCUCGUGCCGUGAGGUGUCGGCUUAAGUGCCAUAACGAGCGCAACCCCUGUCCACAGUUGCCAGCAGGUAAAGCUGGGGACUCUGUGGAGACUGCCGGCGCAAGCUGCGAGGAAGGCGGGGAUGACGUCAAAUCAGCACGGCCCUUACGUCCGGGGCGACACACGUGUUACAAUGGCAGGUACAGCGGGAUGCCACGGGGCGACCCGGCGCUGAACCCGAAAACCUGUCUCAGUUCGGAUUGGAGUCUGCAACCCGACUCCAUGAAGCUGGAUUCGCUAGUAAUCGCGCAUCAGCCACGGCGCGGUGAAUACGUUCCCGGGCCUUGUACACACCGCCCGUCAAGCCAUGGAAGCCGGGGGUACCUGAAGUGCGUGACCGCGAGGAGCGCCCUAGGGUAAAACCGGUGACUGGGGCUAAGUCGUAACAAGGUA
rnacentral:rRNA from 1 species